rnacentral:rRNA from 1 species
UGGGGAAUAUUGCGCAAUGGGCGGAAGCCUGACGCAGCGACGCCGCGUGAGGGAUGAAGGCCUUCGGGUUGUAAACCUCUUUCAGCUCCGAAGAAGCGAGAGUGACGGUAGGAGCAGAAGAAGCACCGGCUAACUACGUGCCAGCAGCCGCGGUAAUACGUAGGGUGCAAGCGUUGUCCGGAAUUAUUGGGCGUAAAGAGCUCGUAGGCGGCUCGUCGCGUCUGCUGUGAAAGCCCGGGGCUUAACCCCGGGUCUGCAGUGGGUACGGGCGGGCUAGAGUGCGGUAGGGGAGACUGGAAUUCCUGGUGUAGCGGUGAAAUGCGCAGAUAUCAGGAGGAACACCGGUGGCGAAGGCGGGUCUCUGGGCCGUAACUGACGCUGAGGAGCGAAAGCAUGGGUAGCGAACAGG